rnacentral:rRNA from 1 species
AGCAGCCGCGGUAAUUCCAGCUCCAAUAGCGUAUAUUAAAGUUGCUGCAGUUAAAGAGCUCGUAGUUGAAUUUCGGGACCAUCAUGUCGGUCGUGCCUCGGUACGUACUGGCAUUGUUGGUUUCUCCCUUCUGACGAACCAUGAUGUCAUUAAUUUGGUGUCAUGGGGAAUCAGGACUGUUACUUUGAAAAAUUAGAGUGUUUAAAGCAGGCUCACGCUUGAAUACAUUAGCAUGGAAUAAUGAAAUAGGACGUUUGAUUCUAUUUUGUUGGUUUCUAGGAUCGACGUAAUGAUUAAUAGGGAUAGUUGGGGGCAUUAGUAUUCAAUUGUCAGAGGUGAAAUUCUUGGAUUUAUUGAAGACUAACUACUGCGAAAGCAUUUGCCAAGGAUGUUUUCAUUAAUCAAGAACGAAAGUUAGGGGAUCGAAGACGAUCAGAUACCGUCGUAGUC